UUUGCACUGAGAAUUUACUGAUCACCUAAAGUAUAUCACAAAAACUGAUCCAAUUUAUCAUUUGGAAAGCUGAUAAGGGAAUAAUUCAUCUAUUCUGCAUUUCCUGUGUGGGUGAUGUCACUGGAUAACUAACAGAUCAAGGGGACGUUACUUUUUAUGUAAGUAUUUCAGCUAAUAAAUGAAGGUGUAAUGAUAGCAUUAGAAUAUUACUAUUUUGCAACUCCUAGUGAAAUAAUAGAUCUAGGGAUUGAUCAUUGUAUGAAAGGACAAUAAAAACUGGGGACCCAAUUUACUAUGCCAAAAGAAAAAAAGUUAACCUGAAAGCUGAGUCAUGCGAGAAGCCACCUUUCCUUGCCUUUGUAAGCAGUUACAGAUAAAAGUUUAAACAUUUCCACAGGUAGCUACCCUGUUCAUCUUUUCUAAUUAAGUGCUGAUUUAUUGAGCAUAAGAUCAGUACAUAAUUGACUAUUUCCCUACCCGCUCCUUUUCUUUUGCAACGUGAGGAUCACCACACACUUCCUAUUUCCUCUCUAGGUCACUUUUCCUUUUUAAGUAUUGAAGCCCUCAAAAUCAUCUUUGGAGAAAAUCAGAGACCACAGACUGUGUCUGUGAUUCUGUGUUUAUUUCUUCUGGGCGUGUUCUUAACCUUGGCAAAAUAAACUACUACAUUGAUUGAGACCUGGCUGGGAUACUCUUUGGUUUUACAAUUGCUAUGGUCUUAAUGCAUCCCUCAAAAUGUAUCUGUCAGAACUCUAAUCCCUGAGACAGCAGUGUUGGGAGCUGCAGCCUAAUGGAGGUGUUUAGGUAAAAAAGCUACAUAUUAUUUGGAAAACUGAUAAAGGAGAGAAUAAAUUAUUUAUCUAUUCUGCAUUUCCCAUAUGUGGGUGGUAUCUACUACCCUGUAGUAGAUGAGGGGGAUGUUACUUUUUAUAUACAUACAAAAUAGUUACGUCUUAUAUAAGUACAAAAAGAGCUUGAAGGAAUCAGUUUACUUU
rnacentral:lncRNA from 1 species